rnacentral:lncRNA from 1 species
AUGUACUCCCAUUCCUGCUGUGUGUUUUAAGGAUUUCAACAGGGGUAGGCAGUGAAUUGCUUCAACUGGAUUACCAUUGUAUGAGUAAAAAAUAGAAAUAGAUGGGCUGUAACGUGAAAUAUUUAUUGCAUUUCAUAAAGCACAUACAUAUUCACCAAUUCUUUACAGUCCUUAAUACUGUGAACUAGACAAGGUACAGUGUCGCAAGUGCUCGUAGUUGCCCACUGUAGUGCAAGAAAAAUUUGUGUUCACGCAUAGUCAGUCUUUAUGCAUAUGGUGAUCAUGAGUUGUGUUCAAAGCUAACAAUUACAAAUGUUUUCACAGACAGCAUCUAUGAGUGGGAUCUCCCUGCAAGCCCGAAUGAUGAAAGCAGCGAGGUGGUGUGCAUCCAAGCACAAAAUGGAGCCACCACAGCUGAGGUCGAGCUAUCGGCACAAGGAGGGCCAGCUGACCUGCAACCUGCUGUCCCACCACUGGCUUCCCCGUUACAGGCUACCCCACAAAACCCAGCUCCUGUGCAACGCAGAACGCUCGCAAAGAGGGCAGCUGUUGAAGAAGAGCUUAGCGCCCGCCUUAGCAGCGUUGAGGAAGAUAAUAAACGAAAGACGAGGGAGCACUUGCUCAAGAUGAAGCUGAUGAGAGCUGAACAUGCUCUCCAUAUGAGGCAAUCAAAACAAAUGCAUGAGCUUGACUGUGCUAGCAAAAAGGCUAAGCUCGAGCUGCUAAUGCUGAAAAUAGAUGCCGUGAAAAAAGCAAAUGCCGAAAGCCCUUUCGACGGUGUUCCUGGUCCGGAUUUGGGACUUGUUAUACCUAAAUAAAGAGAUGUUACAUA